GUGGGGAAUAUUGGACAAUGGGCGAAAGCCUGAUCCAGCAAUGCCGCGUGAGUGAUGAAGGCCUUAGGGUUGUAAAGCUCUUUUACCAGGGAUGAUAAUGACAGUACCUGGAGAAUAAGCUCCGGCUAACUCCGUGCCAGCAGCCGCGGUAAUACGGAGGGAGCUAGCGUUGUUCGGAAUUACUGGGCGUAAAGCGCGCGUAGGCGGUUUAUCAAGUCAGGGGUGAAAUCCCGGGGCUCAACCCCGGAACUGCCCUUGAAACUGGUUCACUAGAAUCCUGGAGAGGCGAGUGGAAUUCCGAGUGUAGAGGUGAAAUUCGUAGAUAUUCGGAAGAACACCAGUGGCGAAGGCGACUCGAUGGACAGGUAUUGACGCUGUGGUGCGAAAGCGUGGGGAGCAAACAGGAUUAGAAACCCUGGUAGUCC
rnacentral:rRNA from 1 species